rnacentral:tRNA from 1 species
GCCGCCGUGGUGGAACUGGCAGACACGUGUGAUUUAGGAUCACAUAUCCCAAGGAUAUGCAGGUUCGAGUCCUGUCGGCGGCACCA